rnacentral:lncRNA from 1 species
GCAGGGUGUAAUGUAAGUUAUAGUGCAGACUAAAUAUUAAAAAAAAUAUCUAUCUUAUUUGACCUUAAUUUACAACUCUCUGAAAAGAUUUCCAUUGUACACAGAAGAACAGAAAAUUUUACAAGCAAAAAGAGACACCUUCUUUUUCAUAUUCUUCGAUGUAACGAUGGCAUUGCUUGCCUUUCUCUGCGUACUUUGUGUUGAUAUAAUGAGACAUGCCUUUUUAACUGAGUUUGAUAAUUUAUUCAUAUAUUGUGCUGUUACGUUUUCGUCCCAGGAUUGGGAUAGGGUUGAACUCCAGUAAACAUGUCAUUUCCGAAGUAGGGAGCUUGUAAUUCAGAUGCUGUAUAUAAUAUUUGUAUUUUUUAAUCUUACAUAAUUCAGGCUGUUAGUUUUCUCGAUUGAAAAAUUUACAGUUUUCAUGCUAUGCAGAAUGGGUUUUGUGCGUUGUUGGAGCCCGUACAGUGACCUUUAUUACUUUUUAUGGCAUGGUGUCACUGGUGAAAAGUUGUCCCAUUGGCAAUGAUACC